GAUGAACGCUGGCGGCGUGCCUAAUCCAUGCAAGUCGAACGAAGGGUGUAGCAAUAUACUCUUAGUGGCGAACGGGUGAGUAACGCGUUGGUGACCUGCCCCGAAGUGUGGGAUAACAGUCCGAAAGGAUUGCUAAUACCGCAUGUGAUCUUUGAGAUUAGAAGCUCGAAGAUUAAAGGAUGUAAAUCCGCUACGGGAGGGGCCUGCGUCCCAUCAGCUAGUUGGUAGGGUAAUGGCUUACCAAGGCGAUGACGGGUAGGGGGCCUGAGAGGGUGAUCCCCCACAAUGGAACUGAAACACGGUCCAUACACCUACGGGUGGCAGCAGGAGGGAAUAUUGGUUAAUGUGCGAAAGCGCGAACCAGCAACGCCGCGUGCGCGAUGAAGGCCUUCGGGUUGUAAAGCGCUUUUUGAGGGAAUGAGAAAGGACAGUACCCUCAGAAUAAGCCUCGGCUAACUACGUGCCAGCCGCCGCGGUAACAC
rnacentral:rRNA from 1 species